rnacentral:rRNA from 1 species
UACAGGGGGUGCAAACGUUGCUCGGAAUCAUUGGGCGUAAAGCGCACGUAGGCGGUCUGUUAUGUCAGAUGUGAAAGCCCUCGGCUCAACUGAGGAAGUGCAUCCGAAACUGGCAGGCUAGAGUACUAAAGAGGGUCGCGGAAUUCCCGGUGUAGAGGUGAAAUUCGUAGAUAUCGGGAGGAACACCGGUGGCGAAGGCGGCGACCUGGGUAGAUACUGACGCUGAGGUGCGAAAGCGUGGGGAGCAAACAGG